GCAGUUCAGCAAAUAGAAUUUCCGUUCGCCCGAUGCUCCGGUAGGCUCCUGUCCUAAUAGGCCUUCGACGCGUAAUCGGUGGUGGAAACCACCACCACCAGUUUGACGCCGAAGAAGCCGCCGCCGCAGCCAGGGCAUAAAAGGGGGUGCGUAGGAGCGCCGAUCGCCAUUUAUGUCUCAACAGUCACCUUUAUUUUCAAGAAUAUUUUUUACACCUCUGCAUCAACAUGAAAUUAUCCAUUGUAAGUUUGUUCGUAAUUAUUAUGGCAGUCACUAUAUAUGUACAGGCGAUGCCGACCUAUGAUGCACCCGACGCGAUUCCGCAAACAACACCAGAAAAAGCACAGCAUCAGCUCCCGCAUAAAGAAGUGAUGGGUGAAAAAUUAAGGAAGAAGAGGUGCAGUUGGUUCUCCGAUCCAACAACAACAACAGCAGGGUACAGCGACCCAAAUUUUGGUCAUCCCCCAAAAGCCUGGGAUCCCGUGGAACCAUUCGAAAAAAACAAUAAAUACUUUGGAACGACACGCAGCCCCCAAUAAGAAGAUAAGAAGAUUACAAACUAAAUAUGUUUACCCUGUUCAAUAUUAAAAUUCUUAACAAAUUCUAAUUUUUUGCCUAAUAUUAAAUUUAGUAUGAAUUACAUUAAUUAAGCAUUACAAAAAUAAAUAAAUAAAUCGAUUAUUAUUAUCUGUA